ensembl:lincRNA
GAAAUAAUGUUCAAUAAACAUUUGUAAAGUGUAUUAACUUAAUCACGCAGAGAUCAAACAUUUAUUGAACAUUGCCAGAUUUUCUCCGAUUGAUGAUGUUGAUUACCUUGUGUGAUUUUCCACAGGCAACCAUCAAGCACCAUGGUUUAAGAAAUUAACAACUACUGAAUCACAUACUGGAAUGAGGUUAGGAUAUAACAUUUUUUAUCCUGUCAAGUGAUUUCUUCUCAGGUCCUUUGUCCUAUUUAUGAUCACCGAGUGCCUUUGGACUGCCCAUGACUGGGGACUAAUUCUUGACCCGGAAGGAAGCAGGCACGAUGCUUCUUCGUUGGGAAUGAUGCCUAUCGUUGUAUCAAGACUCUCUGCAUACCUUUCAGGUCAGUUCACCUAUGCUGAGCUUGAAUCCAAGCUACAGGUUGGGGGCCCAGCUCUGUUUUACAAGUCUCUGCUUAUCCAUGGACUAGUGGGCCAAUUGGGGCAUGCUCUUCUCGUAGUGAGGGCAGAAGUCAGACAGAAGCACCUGAGGGGAAACAUGAGUUUCUCCUAACAUCAAGGCUUAUAUCGGUACAUUGUCACUUCUACCCACAUUCUGCUGGCCAAAGCAAAUCCUAUGGACAAGCCCAACCUUAGUAGGGCAGGGAAAUACACUCUGUCUUGGGUAAGAAGUAUGCCAAAGGCACAUCCAAAGAGCAAGCAUACAGGAAGGGAUCAAGAAUUGGAAGCAAUAGUGCUAUCCAUCUUGGGGGAUAUUAGGCUAAAGGGGGUUUGCUCUUCCAGACCUCUAGUCGGGGGUGGGUUAGUUGAGUUUAUUCAACCAGAUGCAGGCUAAGAAGGAAAAAGGAAGCAAUCAUAGGUCAGUUUUGUCUACUGGAAGCAGGAUGCAGAGAAAGGGGGCUCACUUGUAC